AGUGACCUGAAGAGAACACAUUUUUCUUCAGUGGAUGAAGUGAAGACAGAAACGGCAAGCCUGUUAAAGAGCCUCAAGCAAGAAGACUUCCAGCACUGUUUCAGUCAAUGGAAGAUACAUAUGGAGUGGUGUAGAGAUCGGGAGGGGGAGUAUAUAACAACAACAUUUAUUUAUAUAGCACAUUUUCAUACAAAAAGUAGCUCAAAGUGCUUUACAUAAUGAAGAAAAGAAAAAUAAAAGACAAAAUAAGAAAUUAAAAUAAGACAACAUUAGUUAACAUAGAAAAGGAGUAAGGUCCGAUGGCCAGGGUGGACAGAAAAAACAAAAAAAAAACUCCAGACGGCUGGAGAAAAAAAUAAA